rnacentral:lncRNA from 1 species
AGAGAGGGACAGGAAGUGAGGAGGUGGGACUUCCACUCUGCAACAGCCUGCCACCUUCCAGGUUGUUUUGCCGUUUUACAUGUUAUUCCAAGCAAAGGGACUAAACAACCCUCAUUCAAACCAUUCUGACUGACUUUAAAUGCCUCAGAUGAUUCUAUAAGAUUAGUCAACACAGAGAUACAACUGCAGUUGUUUUACACAAAUGGAAAGAGAAUAGCCGUAAAGCUCAGGAAAUGGAGCAAGAGUGACAGGAAAGUCUUUAACAAGUAAGGAAGUCCUUUUUCUG